AGGCGGGCGACUGCGGGGCCGCUGCCGGGGGCGGCGGGGGCGGGCCGGUCCCCGCCCCUCGGGGCUCCGCCGGGGCUCGGCGUGGCGGCUUCCGCCCGCCGCCGGAAGAAGCUCUCGCCGUCGCGCGCUGGGUUCUGUGUUCCUGUUCGUGAAGAAAGAAAAAGCGGGCUCUCCUGGGCUGUCGGGAGAUGGCGAACCUCAGCGGCCAGGGUUCUCCUCCUUCGGGGGCUGCUGCUCCGUGUGCUCCGCUCGCCCGCGGCCGGGGGAGAAAAAGAGCCGCUGUGACCCCGACGUGACUUGAACACGCAACCUUCUGAUCUGGAGUCAGACGCGCUACCAUUGCGCCACGAGGUCCUGGCGGGCGGGUGGCUCCGCUUCAUUGAAGUCCUUACUGCGCCGCAGGGCCGGCUGGAGCCGGCGGAACGCGCGGCCCCUCCCGGAUUCGGUGCACGCUGACGGGGAGGAGAGCACCUUUUCCCGUGCCUGCUGUUCGCCGGUCUGUCUUCUUUGGGGAAAUGUCUGCUUAACGCCUCUGCCAGUUUAAAAAUCAGGAUGAGUUGCUGAACCACUGGACGUGACAAUGGCUGUGCAGCAGCAUUAACACUCCACAGACAAGACAUGGAAACCAACUGAAGUAGACAAGUGUCACAAACAAAAGGACGAUUGAAGCUGGAACGGGCGUAGAGCCAGGGGGCCCAGAACCUAGGUGCGUUUGUUUUGGAGAGUUGGGUCCGUGUCCUUCCAGCUCAGUCACACUGUUCUCUUCGUGUCCUUCCAGCUCAGUCACACUGUUCUCUUCGCCCUGGGGUCCCUAUGUAGGCCUGACUAUGUGCUAUAGCAUGAACUCCCCUCGACUGACUAAGAGCAAAUCAAAGACCACAUGACUGCUUUAGUUAACAGUUUUUAGUUUGCUGGGCCUUGGGAACUAAAGCGACAUUUAUGACUUAUGAAGGUUAGAGACAGCUUUGAGCCAUCUUUUCUAGUUGUUUUAUUCCACUUGUGGGAAUUGUUUUUUGUGGGGUAUGCAUGGAAAGGGAAUAAAUUAUCCUCUCUAGAAAUU